rnacentral:rRNA from 1 species
AACGAACGCUGGCGGCGGGCCUAACACAUGCAAGUCGAGCGAAGCCUUCGGGCUUAGCGGCGGACGGGUGAGUAACGCGUGGGAACGUGCCCUUUGGUACGGAAUAGCCCCGGGAAACUGGGAGUAAUACCGUAUGUGGUCGAGAGACGAAAGAUUUAUCGCCAAAGGAUCGGCCCGCGUUGGAUUAGGUAGUUGGUGGGGUAAUGGCCUACCAAGCCGACGAUCCAUAGCUGGUUUGAGAGGAUGAUCAGCCACACUGGGACUGAGACACGGCCCAGACUCCUACGGGAGGCAGCAGUGGGGAAUCUUAGACAAUGGGGGGAACCCUGAUCUAGCCAUGCCGCGUGAUCGAUGAAGGCCUUAGGGUUGUAAAGAUCUUUCAGUGGGGAAGAUAAUGACUGUACCCACAGAAGAAGCCCCGGCUAACUCCGUGCCAGCCGCCGCCGUAACAC